CCUACGGGAGGCAGCAGUGGGGAAUAUUGCGCAAUGGGCGAAAGCCUGACGCAGCGACGCCGCGUGAGGGAUGAAGGUCUUCGGAUCGUAAACCUCUGUCAGCAGGGCAGAACGGUCACUGUGCUAAUCAGCAGUGAAUUGACGGUACCUGCAAAGGAAGCACCGGCUAACUCCGUGCCCGCAGCCGCGGUAAUACGGGGGGUGCGAGCGUUCAUCGGAAUUACUGGGCGUAAAGCGCUCGUAGGCGGUAUGUCAAGUCAAGGGUGAAAUCCCCGCGCUCAACGGGGGAACUGCCUUUGAAACUGGCAAACUGGAGUGUGUGAGAGGAUAGUGGAAUUCCAGGUGUAGGAGUGAAAUCCGUAGAUAUCUGGAGGAACAUCAGUGGCGAAGGCGACUAUCUGGCACAUAACUGACGCUGAGGAGCGAAAGCGUGGGUAGCAAACAGGAUUAGAUACCCUUGUAGUC
rnacentral:rRNA from 1 species